GUGAGGAAUAUUGGGCAAUGCCCGAAAGGGUGACCCAGCAACGCCGCGUGGAGGAUGAAGGUCGUAAGAUUGUAAACUCCUGUUAGAGGGGAAGAAUAACUAAGUUUGGAGCUUAGUAUGACUGUACCCUCAGAGAAAGCCCCGGCUAACUACGUGCCAGCAGCCGCGGUAAUACGUAGGGGGCAAGCGUUGUCCGGAUUUACUGGGUGUAAAGGGCGCGCAGGCGGAAUGGAAAGUCAGUGGUGAAAUCCUACAGCUUAACUGUAGAACUGCCUUUGNUACUUUCAUUCUUGAGUUCGGGAGAGAGAGACGGAAUUCCAGGUGUAGUGGUGAAAUACGUAGAUAUCUGGAAGAACACCAGUUGCGAAGGCGGUCUCUUGGUCCGAUGCUGACGCUGAGGCGCGAAAGCGUGGGGAGCAAACA
rnacentral:rRNA from 1 species